rnacentral:rRNA from 1 species
UACAGGGGGUGCAAACGUUGCUCGGAAUCAUUGGGCGUAAAGCGCACGUAGGCGGUUCGUUAUGUCGGAUGUGAAAGCCCUUGGCUUAACCGAGGAAGUGCAUCCGAAACUGGCGAGCUAGAGUACGAAAGAGGAUCGCGGAAUUCCCGGUGUAGAGGUGAAAUUCGUAGAUAUCGGGAGGAACACCGGUGGCGAAGGCGGCGAUCUGGGUCGAUACUGACGCAGAGGUGCGAAAGCGUGGGGAGCAAACAGG